UACAGAGGGGGCGAGCGUUAUUCGGAAUUAUUGGGCGUAAAGGGCGCGUAGGCGGCCUUUCAAGUGACGGGUGAAAUCCCUGGGCUCAACCCAGGAACUGCGUCCGAUACUGGCAGGCUUGAAUCCGGGAGAGGGAUGCGGAAUUCCAGGUGUAGCGGUGAAAUGCGUAGAUAUCUGGAGGAACACCGGUGGCGAAGGCGGCAUCCUGGACCGGUAUUGACGCUGAGGCGCGAAAGCCAGGGGAGCAAACGGG
rnacentral:rRNA from 1 species